rnacentral:lncRNA from 1 species
GUCCCAAUGGAGCUUAGAAUGAGGAACACUAUUUUGACAACUGGACAUAAAUAAGUUUGUUUUUCAGGAUUCCAAAGCUGUGUUUUAUCUUGGCAGCUGCCUUGGUCUGUUUCACUGGAAAAUGGCUGUUUGAGUGAGGAAGAAAAAUGCAACUGUGGACUAUACAAAGCUCAUUUUGGAGAUAGGAAACUAAUCCAGCUAGUGAUCAGACAGAACCAACUCACUAGCAACAUGCUCCUUUGAAUGAGGUCAACUGUCUGCUCACAGCCAUGAUGUCAGUUCUCGAGGGUUAUAUUUAAUAUGCUUCUCACACUACAGAGAAAAAAAAAUGACUACAUUAGAGUAAAAUCUAGAAGCGCCAGUGAGGGUGGCGGUCGAAAGAAUCAAGUACCAAGCAAGAAAUUAGCAAGAGAUGGCUUCAUCCCUAAGGGUUUUACUGCCCUGGAUUUGAAGGAAAUGAGGUAAAAAAAGGUGAAAUGACUUACCUAGCAUCACAUAGCUGGUCUGCAGCACAGUAAAAAAAAAAAAAAAAAGGAAUGAUGAGUCUUCAGAUCCUCAGAAAAAUACUUUAAAUAUUG